AAUGCAGCAUUUCCUCAGACAAGCCAGCCUGCUGAAGACUGUGAGAAAAGGUGGUAAAAUGUAUUGGCAACAUCUCGCAAAGAUAUUGCAGCAUACAAGGAAAGCAUGUGUGCCACAGGUGGAGGCCCUCCAUGUAAUCCUCUGUCUGAGAUUGCUGAAAUGGUAGAGGAGAUACUGGGAACGGCCAACCCUUCCAUUUGUGGCAUUGCAGAUGCCCCGGACCCUGCACUGCUCAAAUUAAGAGUUACAAAGAUGUGCUGAUGACGCUGGAGCCGGGCCAUCUGACGUGCCACAUUGCACCACAUCUCAGGAUGUCUUCCUGUGUCCUCCAAAAGAGGCUUCUGCUUCACAAGACACAGGGUUUGCACCGAGUGUA